rnacentral:rRNA from 1 species
ACGUGGGGAAGGAUCAUUAAAGAAUUUAAAAGGAGUUGUUGGGCGCGUGAAACCCAGGCAUGCGCACGCUCCAAUCUCAUCCAUUUUACACGUGUGCCCCCGUGCGGGGGUCUGUGGGCUUUGGGGUAGAGGGGCGUGUGUUUUUCAUAAACUUUUAUGUAUGUAACAGAAUGUCAUAAUGCUAUAAACGCAUUUUAUACAACUUUCAACAACGGAUCUUUUGGCUCUCGCAUCGAUGAAGAACGCAGCGAAAUGCGAUAAGUAAUGUGAAUCGCAGAAUUCAGUGAAUCAUAGAAUCUUUGAACGCCCCUUGCGCCCCUUGGUAUUCCGAGGCGCACGCCUGUUAGAGUGUCGAGAAAUUCUCAACUCAAUCCUCGUGUUAUGAGAGGGGUGGGCUUGGACUGGGAGGUCUCGCCGGUGCUCCCUCGGGAAGUCGGCUCCUCGAGAACGCAAGAGGGGAUCCCUUUUGUAGGGUUCCCCCGGGGUGUGAUAAUUAUAUACGCCGCGGGUAGCCGUGCGUGGGUGUGUUUCUAACCGUCUUGGGACAACUUUCAUCUCAACUUGACCUCGAAUCAGGCGAUAGCCGUUCCUGAACUUAAACAUAACAAAACGGGGGGGGAGAGAAAAA